AGUCAAGGUGUUGUGGGGUAAUUGAAUUUAAAACCGAAGCCCUGAUGAAAAAAGCAAUAGAAGCUUUGCACAGAUAUGAGCUUGGUGGAAGACCCCUUAAAGUGAA